UACGGAGGGUGCGAGCGUUGUUCGGAAUCACUGGGCGUAAAGGGCGUGUAGGCGGUCCGCUAAGUCUGAUGUGAAAGCCCGGGGCUCACCCCCGGAAGUGCAUUGGAAACUGGCGGACUCGAGUCCCGGAGAGGAGAGUGGAAUUCCUGGUGUAGCGGUGAAAUGCGUAGAUAUCAAGAGGAACACCGGUGGCGAAGGCGGCUCUCUGGACGGUGACUGACGCUGAGACGCGAAAGCGUGGGGAGCAAACAGG
rnacentral:rRNA from 1 species